rnacentral:miRNA from 1 species
UCCCUUCCGGUCAUCGAGACUGUCUCGAUGACCGGAAGGAAUCCCUUCCGGUCAUCGAAUGGUCUUGAUGACCGAAGGAAUCCCUUCCGGUCAUCGAGACUGUACAGUCUCUUGAUGACCGGAAGGAA